rnacentral:rRNA from 1 species
CAGCAGCCGCGGUAAUACGUAGGUGGCAAGCGUUGUCCGGAAUUAUUGGGCGUAAAGGGCUCGCAGGCGGUUUCUUAAGUCUGAUGUGAAAGCCCCCGGCUCAACCGGGGAGGGUCAUUGGAAACUGGGAAACUUGAGUGCAGAAGAGGAGAGUGGAAUUCCACGUGUGGCGGUGAAAUGCGUUGAGAUCGGAAAGAACACCAACAGCGUAAUCACUCUGCUAGGCCGACACUGACACUGAGAGACGAAAUCUAGGGGAGCAAAUGGGAUUAGAUACCCCGGUAGUCCCUGUCUCUUAUAC